rnacentral:rRNA from 1 species
UACGGGGGGGGCAAGCGUUGUUCGGAAUUACUGGGCGUAAAGGGCUCGUAGGCGGCCAACUAAGUCAGACGUGAAAUCCCCAGGCUCAACCUGGGAACUGCGUCUGAUACUGGAUGGCUUGAAUCCGGGAGAGGGAUGCAGAAUUCCAGGUGUAGCGGUGAAAUGCGUAGAUAUCUGGAGGAACACCGGUGGCGAAGGCGGCAUCCUGGACCGACACUGACGCUGAUGCGCGAAAGCUAGGGGAGCAAACGGG